UACGGGGGGGGCAAGCGUUGUUCGGAAUUACUGGGCGUAAAGGGCUCGUAGGCGGCCAACUAAGUCGGAUGUGAAAUCCCCAGGCUCAACCUGGGAACUGCAUCCGAUACUGGAUGGCUUGAAUUCGGGAGAGGGAUGCAGAAUUCCAGGUGUAGCGGUGAAAUGCGCAGAUAUCAGGAGGAACACCGGUGGCGAAGGCGGUGGUCUGGGCCGGCACUGACGCUGAGGAGCGAAAGCGUGGGGAGCAAACAGG
rnacentral:rRNA from 1 species